rnacentral:lncRNA from 1 species
CAGGCAGCGAGAAAACUCGGGUGCCCCCAGUAAGUCUGGAAAAUCCCUAGGUUUCCUGAAAGGGAGCCCAGGAGAUGUGUAAAUGGAUCGUCUCAAAGAGAAAAGAAACUCUUGCACACCUGGCCUCUCAGGAAUGAGAAUGGAAAUCGGUGCUUUGCCCUGUUCUCCAAGGAGCAGGGAGAUGAUCAGGCUCUAAUGGACCCAAAAAAGACGAUCCAAAAAGGAGCAAUCACGUCAUUCCCUGGAUCCACAGUACAAGAAUUGCAAGUGGUGGAAUGGAAACAGUACCAGAUUGGCAGGCAGCAGACACAGGUUCACACACCACGACCAUGGAUGAGAUGGGCGAUCAAUGAGUGAGUGGUUAGCCUCUUCCAGUUCGAAAUUCUAUGGUCCUAUGAAAACUGUGAACAAGAGGCCUUGAGAAAUAUGACUAUGCCUGGAAAAUCUAGGAAGAGCCAGAGGAAAAACAAAUAAACAGAGACAAGGUCAAAGCA